GUGAGGUGAUGAUGAAGUUUAUCCAUUCUCUGAGUGCAGUGGUGCUGCCCUCCUGCAGCACCCUGAUUCCUGUUCUAGGGUCUGGGUGCUGUGCAGCCUCCAGACACCCUCCAGUCUCCUAAUGGAGAGCUGCUGUGGUGUGUGGCUGGCUGCCUGCAGGAGUGACAUGGUGCUGGCAGGGUUGGAGCCCCUCUUUGCGGGCUCCAUCCCCACCGAGAUGAGGGAUGAUGUCUGAUCAC
rnacentral:snoRNA from 1 species